rnacentral:rRNA from 1 species
GAUGAACGCUGGCGGCGUGCCUAAUACAUGCAAGUCGAGCGAACAGACCAGGAUCUUGCUCCUCUCACGUUAGCGGCGCACGGGUGAGUAACACGUGGAUAACCUACCUAUAAGACUGGGAUAACUUCGGGAAACCGGAGCUAAUACCGGAUAAUAUAUUGAACCGCAUGGUUCAAUAGUGAAAGACGGCUUUGCUGUCACUUAUAGAUGGUUCCGCGCCGUAUUAGCUAGUUGGUAAGGUAACGGCUUACCAAGGCAACGAUGCGUAUCCGACAUGAGAGGGUGAUCGGCCACAUUGGAACGGGAACACGGUCCAGGCUCCUACGGGAGGCAGCAGUAGGGAACCUGCCGCAAUGGGCGAAAGCCUGACGGAGCAAGGGCGCGUGAGUGGUGAAGAUGCUCGGAUCGUAAAACUGUGUUAUUAGGGAAGAACAAAUGUGUAAGUAACUAUGGACGUCUUGACGGUAAUGAAUCAGAAAGCCACGGCUAACUACGUG